GUGGGGAAUAUUGGACAAUGGGCGAAAGCCUGAUCCAGCAAUGCCGCGUGAGUGAUGAAGGCCUUAGGGUUGUAAAGCUCUUUUACCCGGGAAGAUAAUGACUGUACCGGGAGAAUAAGCCCCGGCUAACUCCGUGCCAGCAGCCGCGGUAAUACGGAGGGGGCUAGCGUUGUUCGGAAUUACUGGGCGUAAAGCGCACGUAGGCGGUUUUGUAAGUUAGAGGUGAAAGCCUGGGGCUCAACCCCAGAAUUGCCUUUAAGACUGCAUCACUUGAACGUCUGAGAGGUGAGUGGAAUUCCGAGUGUAGAGGUGAAAUUCGUAGAUAUUCGGAAGAACACCAGUGGCGAAGGCGGCUCACUGGACGACUGUUGACGCUGAGGUGCGAAAGCGUGGGGAGCAAACAGGAUUAGAAACCCGUGUAGUCC
rnacentral:rRNA from 1 species